GUGGCGAACGGGUGAGUAACACGUGAGCAACCUGCCCCUGACUCUGGGAUAAGCGCUGGAAACGGCGUCUAAUACUGGAUAUGUGACGUGACCGCAUGGUCUGCGUCUGGAAAGAAUUUCGGUUGGGGAUGGGCUCGCGGCCUAUCAGCUUGUUGGUGAGGUAAUGGCUCACCAAGGCGUCGACGGGUAGCCGGCCUGAGAGGGUGACCGGCCACACUGGGACUGAGACACGGCCCAGACUCCUACGGGAGGCAGCAGUGGGGAAUAUUGCACAAUGGGCGCAAGCCUGAUGCAGCAACGCCGCGUGAGGGAUGACGGCCUUCGGGUUGUAAACCUCUUUUAGCAGGGAAGAAGCGAAAGUGACGGUACCUGCAGAAAAAGCGCCGGCUAACUACGUGCCAGCAGCCGCGGUAAUACGUAGGGCGCAAGCGUUAUCCGGAAUUAUUGGGCGUAAAGAGCUCGUAGGCGGUUUGUCGCGUCUGCUGUGAAAUCCGGAGGCUCAACCUCCGGCCUGCAGUGGGUACGGGCAGACUAGAGUGCGGUAGGGGAGAUUGGAAUUCCUGGUGUAGCGGUGGAAUGCGCAGAUAUCAGGAGGAACACCGAUGGCGAAGGCAGAUCUCUGGGCCGUAACUGACGCUGAGGAGCGAAAGGGUGGGGAGCAAACAGGCUUAGAUACCCUGGUAGUCCACCCCGUAAACGUUGGGAACUAGUUGUGGGGUCCAUUCCACGGAUUCCGUGACGCAGCUAACGCAUUAAGUUCCCCGCCUGGGGAGUACGGNCGCAAGGCUAAAACUCAAAGGAAUUGACGGGGACCCGCACAAGCGGCGGAGCAUGCGGAUUAAUUCGAUGCAACGCGAAGAACCUUACCAAGGCUUGACAUAU
rnacentral:rRNA from 1 species